rnacentral:lncRNA from 1 species
CCCAACUCUGAUGAUGUGCAUGCUGUGGUCAAUCAGGGACUGGCGGACAUGAAGAGUCACUGUCACAAGAAAGCUGCUGAGCUGUGGUUUGUGGCCCAGCUCUGCCAGACAGUGUAGUGACCAAGCCUAUUCUAGUGGCAGCAGUAGGGGCUGUGCUGGAAAUGGAACAACCAUCAAGGACCAUCUAAAGUGUCUCUUCUGUUGGGCAGGGCUGUCACCAUCAGCGUCUUCCUAGUGGCUGCAGGGAUGGCCAUAGUUCCUUGCAGAGCCAUAGCACGGGCCACUUGUGUGAUCUUAGUGGAAGCUGCUGGCUAUCCCUCCCUCUCUCCCAUCUUCCUCCUACAGAAACAGAACCCCUAUUCAUUAGUUGGAACAAGGUACCCAAGAGCAAAACCUACGUUUGCCUGGCUUCCACAGCAGGCUGCCAAUGGGAUUUAUACCGUAAGAUGCCCUACAAUGAGAACAACCAACCAGGGGUGGUUAUGGAUCAUGUAACAAAAAUCAGACCUUAGUAGAGAGUAUAAG